UACGUAGGGUGCGAGCGUUAAUCGGAAUUAUUGGGCGUAAAGGGCACGUAGGCGGAUUUGUUAGUCAGGGGUGAAAUCCCGAGGCUCAACCUCGGAACUGCCUUUGAUACUGCAAAUCUCGAGUCCGGAAGAGGUGAGUGGAAUUCCUAGUGUAGAGGUGAAAUUCGUAGAUAUUAGGAAGAACACCAGUGGCGAAGGCGGCUCACUGGUCCGGUACUGACGCUGAGGUGCGAAAGCGUGGGGAGCAAACAGG
rnacentral:rRNA from 1 species